GAUGAACGCUGGCGGCGUGCCUAAUACAUGCAAGUCGAGCGAACGGACGAGAAGCUUGCUUUUCUGAUGUUAGCGGCGGACGGGUGAGUAACACGUGGAUAACCUACCUAUAAGACUGGGAUAACUUCGGGAAACCGGAGCUAAUACCGGAUAAUAUUUUGAACCGCAUGGUUCAAAAGUGAAAGACGGUCUUGCUGUCACUUAUAGAUGGAUCCGCGCUGCAUUAGCUAGUUGGUAAGGUAACGGCUUACCAAGGCAACGAUGCAUAGCCGACCUGAGAGGGUGAUCGGCCACACUGGAACUGAGACACGGUCCAGACUCCUACGGGAGGCAGCAGUAGGGAAUCUUCCGCAAUGGGCGAAAGCCUGACGGAGCAACGCCGCGUGAGUGAUGAAGGUCUUCGGAUCGUAAAACUCUGUUAUUAGGGAAGAACAUAUGUGUAAGUAACUGUGCACAUCUUGACGGUACCUAAUCAGAAAGCCACGGCUAACUACGUGCCAGCAGCCGCGGUAAUACGUAGGUGGCAAGCGUUAUCCGGAAUUAUUGGGCGUAAAGCGCGCGUAGGCGGUUUUUUAAGUCUGAUGUGAAAGCCCACGGCUCAACCGUGGAGGGUCAUUGGAAACUGGAAAACUUGAGUGCAGAAGAGGAAAGUGGAAUUCCAUGUGUAGCGGUGAAAUGCGCAGAGAUGUGGAGGAACACCAGUGGCGAAGGCGACUUUCUGGUCUGUAACUGACGCUGAUGUGCGAAAGCGUGGGGAUCAAACAGGAUUAGAUACCCUGGUAGUCCACGCCGUAAACGAUGAGUGCUAAGUGUUAGGGGGUUUCCGCCCCUUAGUGCUGCAGCUAACGCAUUAAGCACUCCGCCUGGGGAGUACGACCGCAAGGUUGAAACUCAAAGGAAUUGACGGGGGCCCGCACAAGCGGUGGAGCAUGUGGUUUAAUUCGAAGCAACGCGAAGAACCUUACCAAAUCUUGACAUCCUUUGACAACUCUAGAGAUAGAGCCUUCCCCUUCGGGGGACAAAGUGACAGGUGGUGCAUGGUUGUCGUCAGCUCGUGUCGUGAGAUGUUGGGUUAAGUCCCGCAACGAGCGCAACCCUUAAGCUUAGUUACCAUCAUUAAGUUGGGCACUCUAAGUUGACUGCCGGUGACAAACCGGAGGAAGGUGGGGAUGACGUCAAAUCAUCAUGCCCCUUAUGAUUUGGGCUACACACGUGCUACAAUGGACAAUACAAAGGGCAGCGAAACCGCGAGGUCAAGCAAAUCCCAUAAAGUUGUUCUCAGUUCGGAUUGUAGUCUGCAACUCGACUACAUGAAGCUGGAAUCGCUAGUAAUCGUAGAUCAGCAUGCUACGGUGAAUACGUUCCCGGGUCU
rnacentral:rRNA from 1 species